UACGUAGGGUGCGAGCGUUAAUCGGAAUUACUGGGCGUAAAGCGUGCGCAGGCGGUUCUCCAAGUCCGUUGUGAAAGCCCCGGGCUCAACAUGGGAAUGGCAGUGGAAACUAGGGGACUGGAAUCUGGCAGAGGGGGGUGGAAUGCCGCGUGUAGCAGUGAAAUGCGUAGAGAUGCGGCGGAACACCGAUGGCGAAGGCAGCCCCCUGGGCUGAGAUUGACGCUCAGGCACGAAAGCGUGGGGAGCAAACAGG
rnacentral:rRNA from 1 species